rnacentral:rRNA from 1 species
GACGAACGCUGGCGGCGUGCCUAAUACAUGCAAGUAGAACGCUGAAGGAGGAGCUUGCUUCUCUGGAUGAGUUGCGAACGGGUGAGUAACGCGUAGGUAACCUGCCUGGUAGCGGGGGAUAACUAUUGGAAACGAUAGCUAAUACCGCAUAAGAGUAGAUGUUGCAUGACAUUUGCUUAAAAGGUGCAAUUGCAUCACUACCAGAUGGACCUGCGUUGUAUUAGCUAGUUGGUGAGGUAACGGCUCACCAAGGCAACGAUACAUAGCCGACCUGAGAGGGUGAUCGGCCACACUGGGACUGAGACACGGCCCAGACUCCUACGGGAGGCAGCAGUAGGGAAUCUUCGGCAAUGGACGGAAGUCUGACCGAGCAACGCCGCGUGAGUGAAGAAGGUUUUCGGUAUCGUAAAGCUCUGUUGUAAGAGAAAGAAACGAGUGUGAGAAGUGGAAAAGUU